rnacentral:miRNA from 1 species
CAAGUUACCAGCCGAGGUUACA